rnacentral:rRNA from 1 species
AUUGAACGCUGGCGGCAUGCUUUACACAUGCAAGUCGAACGGUAACAGGCCGCAAGGUGCUGACGAGGGGCGAACGGGUGAGUAAUGCAUCGGAACGUGCCCAGUCGUGGGGGGUAACUACUCGCAAGAGUAGCUAAUACCGCAUACGAUCUAUGGUUGAAAGCGGGGGACUGUAAGGCCUCGCGCGAUUGGAGCGGCCGAUGUCAGAUUAGGUAGUUGGGGGGGUAAAGGCUCACCAAGCCAACGAUCUGUAGCUGGUCUGAGAGGGCGACGAGCCACACUGGGACUGAGACACGGCCCAGACUCCUACGGGAGGCAGCAGUGGGGAAUUUUGGACAAUGGGCGAAAGCCUGAUCCAGCAAUGCCGCGUGCAGGAAGAAGGCCUUCGGGUUGUAAACUGCUGUUGUACGGAACGAAACAGCUCUGGUUAAUACCCGGGGCUAAUGACGGUACCGUAAGAAUAAGCACCGGCUAACUACGUG